GACGAACGCUGGCGGCGUGCUUAACACAUGCAAGUCGAGCGAUGAAGCCGGAGCUUGCUCUGGUGAAUUAGUGGCGAACGGGUGAGUAACACGCGAGUAACCUGCCCUUGACUCUGGGAUAACUGCGGGAAACUGUGACUAAUACCGGAUACGACCCUCGGAGGCAUCUCCUGGGGGUGGAAAGAAUUUCGGUCAAGGAUGGACUCGCGGCCUAUCAGCUAGUUGGUGAGGUAAAGGCUCACCAAGGCGACGACGGGUAGCCGGCCUGAGAGGGUGACCGGCCACACUGGGACUGAGACACGGCCCAGACUCCUACGGGAGGCAGCAGUGGGGAAUAUUGCACAAUGGGCGCAAGCCUGAUGCAGCAACGCCGCGUGAGGGAUGACGGCCUUCGGGUUGUAAACCUCUUUUAGCAGGGAAGAAGCGAAAGUGACGGUACCUGCGGAAAAAGCACCGGCUAACUACGUGCCAGCCGCCGCCGUAA
rnacentral:rRNA from 1 species